GACGAACGCUGGCGGCGUGCUUAACACAUGCAAGUCGAACGGAAAGGCCCUGCUUUUGUGGGGUGCUCGAGUGGCGAACGGGUGAGUAACACGUGAGUAACCUGCCCUUGACUUUGGGAUAACUUCAGGAAACUGGGGCUAAUACCGGAUAGGAGCUCCUGCUGCAUGGUGGGGGUUGGAAAGUUUCGGCUGUUGGGGUUGGACUCUCGGCUUAUCAGCUUUUUGGUGGGGUAGUGGCUUACCAAGGAUUUGACGGGUAGCCGGCCUGGGAGGGUGACAGGCCAAAUAGGGACUGAGAGACGGACCAGACUCAUACGGGAGGAAGGAGGGGGGAAAAAUGAACAAAGGGCGGAAGCCGGAUGAAGAAACGCCGCGUGGGGGAUGACGGCCUUCGGGUUGUAACCGAUUUCGCCUGUGACGAAGCGUGAGUGACGGUAAUGGGUAAAGAAGCACCGGCUAACUACGUG
rnacentral:rRNA from 1 species